GAUGAACGCUGGCGGCGUGCCUAAUACAUGCAAGUCGAGCGAACGGACGAGAAGCUUGCUUCUCUGAUGUUAGCGGCGGACGGGUGAGUAACACGUGGAUAACCUACCUAUAAGACUGGGAUAACUUCGGGAAACCGGAGCUAAUACCGGAUAAUAUUUUGAACCGCAUGGUUCAAAAGUGAAAGACGGUCUUGCUGUCACUUAUAGAUGGAUCCGCGCUGCAUUAGCUAGUUGGUAAGGUAACGGCUUACCAAGGCAACGAUGCAUAGCCGACCUGAGAGGGUGAUCGGCCACACUGGAACUGAGACACAGUCCAGACUCCUACGGGAGGCAGCAGUAGGGAAUCUUCUGCAAUGGGCGAAAGCCUGACGGAGCAACGCCGCGUGAGUGAUGAAGGUCUUCGGAUCGUAAAACUCUGUUAUUAGGGAAGAACAUAUGUGUAAGUAACUGUGCACAUCUUGACGGUACCUAAUCAGAAAGCCACGGCUAACUACGUG
rnacentral:rRNA from 1 species